rnacentral:rRNA from 1 species
AGUGAACGCUGGCGGUAUGCCUAACACAUGCAAGUCGAACGGCAGCAGACUAAGAGCUUGCUCUUACUGGUGGCGAGUGGCGGACGGGUGAGGAAUACAUCGGAAUCUACUUUUUCGGGGGGGAUUAAGAAGGGAAACUUACUGUAAUACCGCAUACGACCUACGGGUGAAAGGAGCGGAUGUUCGGAGCUUGCGCGAUCUAUCGAUACGACGUUGGAUUACUUUGUUGGCGGGGUAAAGGCCUACCAAGGCGAAGAAAGGUAGCUGACCUGAGAGGAUGAUCGGCCACAUUGGAACUGAGACACGGCCCAGACUCCUACGGGAGGCAGCAGUAGGGAAUAUUCCGCAAUGGGCGCAAGCCUGACGCAGCAACGCCGCGUGAGUGAAGAAGGUCUUCGGAUCGUAAAGCCCUUUUGUUAGGGAAGAACAGCGCAUAGAUAAUCUGUCACUCUUGUGACAGUACCUAACGAGAAAGCCACGGCUAACUUCGUG